UCCCUGGUAGUCCAGUGCCUAAGACUCUGCACUUCUAAUGGAGGGGUCAGGGUUCGAUCCCUGGUCAGGGAA
rnacentral:tRNA from 1 species